rnacentral:rRNA from 1 species
UACGGAGGGGGCUAGCGUUGUUCGGAAUUACUGGGCGUAAAGCGCACGUAGGCGGCUUUGUAAGUUAGAGGUGAAAGCCCAGGGCUUAACCCCUGGAAUUGCCUUUAAGACUGCAUCGCUAGAAUUGUGGAGAGGUAAGUGGAAUUCCGAGUGUAGAGGUGAAAUUCGUAGAUAUUCGGAAGAACACCAGUGGCGAAGGCGACUUACUGGACACAUAUUGACGCUGAGGUGCGAAAGCGUGGGGAGCAAA